CUUGGCGGCCAUGUCGUUCCGGAACAGCUCCAGGGCCUUGUUCAUGGCCCCCUGGGCGUCGGCACCGAAGUCCCCGGGAUGCUUGCUCUGCAGAACUUGGAUGAUGGAUUCCGAGAUCAACUGCAGGGAGGGUGAAGAGAGAUGGUGGUCACCGGGGUGGGACAAACCAGGAGCCAGAUGGGGGCCAGGUCUCCUCCCACCUUCUCUUUAUUCCAGGACCGUGUAUUGAGCACUUUGUAGGCACCGGGUGAGAGUCUGUGUGAUCUCCAUGGAUGAACCCCUUUGAUCCCCACAGCCACUGUGGGAUAGAUACUACCACUGCCCUCGAUUUACAGAUGCAGAAACUGAGGCAAGAGGAGGUUGAAUGGAAGGGGCAUUUGGACCCAGGAGGGCCGGCUCCGGAGCCCACGCUCUUACCCACAGCCCCCUCCACUCCAUCAGGAUGUGGAUUCCACUGAAGUCAGUUAACCAGAUUUGAUCCCAACCGCAGCCCUGGCCGGUGCACCAAGGAGUGUCAUUUUACAGAGGAGACAAGUGGCCAGACGGAGGUCACACAGGCGGAGAGCAGAGAUGGAUUUGUGCCCAGGAGGCUGUGGGCAGGUCACUGCCAAAGCUGGGAAUGGAGGCAGUGGCUGAACCAAGGCUGGGUUUCUCGUUUUCUCAGGGCCCCAGGGUGCAAGUGACAUAAAGCAGGGAUAGUCGCGGCGGGGGACAUGCAAAGAGAGGCCUCAAGAAGCAUCAACACCCCGUAAGCCCCUCCGCUUGGAAAGAGGAACAGCUCCACAAACACCUCCUCUCGGGCAUCGAGGUGGACGCUUAACUUCACCUUCCAUUUCAUGAACGCCACAAAACAAAGUGGGGGCUCGGGGUGUCAUGGAGCAAGCCCUGUCCUUAGAGAACUUGAGAGAACCAAGUUCCAGGGCCACCUAUGCCCCGACCCCAUGUGUGACUUCACCCACCCAGAUGACCUGGUUGGACCCCCAGCUCAGACUUUCUAGAGUCCAUGGCAGAGCCACUCAUAUCUAGCAAACAGUGGAAUGGGGCCACUGCAUAAUUGAGAAAUGAAAAUUCUCUCGGCACCCACCACCCUGUGCAGCCCCUCAGUCCCUCAGAGAGACGACCUGUCCACCGGUGAGGUGGAGGCUGCCUUAUGAACAGCGCAGAAGGACGGCCCACCGUGAGGGGGACGAGCAGACGCCUGGGCUCUGCCUUAAUUUUUUGCAGAGGUUAUGCAUCAGAUUAAGCAUGUUCUAGGGAGACCUGGGUUCUAGCGGCCAACUGGUUGUGAUAUCUUGGCUGCAUGGUUUUUUCUAUCCAAGACUCAGCUUCUUCCUCUCGAGAGAGAGAACUCACUUAUUGGAAGUGUAUGGUGAACCAACCACAUGCCACUGGGGCACAGAAAUGGUAGCCCCUCGGGAGCUGAGUGCCUGCUGGGAGACCACUGGGCAAAGAGACAAAUUAUAACACAGCCUGGCAGUGCUAUGGCCGGGGAUGAGGAUAAAGUACCACGGUGCAGAGAGGCGCUGGCAGAUGGAGAAGCUGAGGACCUCGUGGGCCUGGGGCCCAAGUAGGGGAGAUGGCUUCACACUGGGCCUUAGUGGAUGAACAGGGAUUUGCAGAGAGAAGAUGGGGAGGCAGGGAUGGCCUCACGUGCAGGGCUGUCUGUUCAGGCUGGUGAUGUGGAGCGGUGGGCAGGCAGGACUCUGCACAAUUGCGGGGUGGGGUGCAAGGGUUGAGGCUAAAGAGGGGUGGUGGUGGUUGUCAAGCAAGAGGUGAUAUUGUGCCACAGUGGAUUCGGAGCCUGGUUCCAGAGUACCAUAGAUCUGACUGUACCUCCUGGCUUAUUAGCUGUGUGACCUUGGGCAAGCUACUUAACCCCUCUGAGCUCUCAGUUUCCAAACCAGUAAAAUGGGGAUGAGAAGGGUACGUGCCUGGGGCAGAGACUGCUAAUUACCUCCACAAUAUCCAUUUCCCCUUCUUCCUUGGUAACAGAACACUAGUUGUAUUUGGAGGGGUAAUAGACCACCUUUCCCAGCUUCCCAUGCAGACAGGGUGGCUCCAGAACUAACUUCCAGCCAAUGAGAUGUAAAUAAAAUUGUUGGAUGAGA